CCCUUAGAUGUUCUGGGCUGCACCCGUGCUACACUGGCAGGUUCAGCGAGCUUCAUGCCCUGAUCUGAAAGGAAUGGGAAAUCUUUUCAAAACCUGCCGUGCUUGGGAUAGAUGUUUGCAAUUAUUCAUCUUCAACGAGGAUUGCCUUGUAAGCGCACGUCAUCAGCGUGCAUUGAAUACGACCCUGUAUUCUGUACACACCGCCCGUCGCUCCUACCGAUUGAAGCUUUCGGUGAGUUGACAGGAGGAUUUUUUUGAAACUGGUUCGCCAGUGGAUUUUAGAUCCAAAUGCCAACGAAUCGAUGGCUUUAGAGGAAGGAGAAGUCGUAACA
rnacentral:rRNA from 1 species